rnacentral:rRNA from 1 species
AACGAACGCUGGCGGCAGGCUUAACACAUGCAAGUCGAGCGCCCCGCAAGGGGAGCGGCAGACGGGUGAGUAACGCGUGGGAAUCUACCCAUCUCUACGGAAUAACGCAUGGAAACGUGUGCUAAUACCGUAUACGUCCUUCGGGAGAAAGAUUUAUCGGAGAUGGAUGAGCCCGCGUUGGAUUAGCUAGUUGGUGGGGGAAAGGCCUACAAAGGCGACGAUCCAUAGCUGGUCUGAGAGGAUGAUCAGCCACACUGGAACUGAGACACGGCCCAGACUCCUACGGGAGGCAGCAGUGGGGAAUAUUGGACAAUGGGCGCAAGCCUGAUCCAGCCAUGCCGCGUGAGUGAUGAAGACCCUAGGGUUGUAAAGCUCUUUCACCGGUGAAGAUAAUGACGGUAACCGGAGAAGAAGCCCCGGCUAACUUCGUGCCAGCCGCCGCAGUAACAC